rnacentral:snoRNA from 1 species
GAUCCAUGUUGAGAAAUAGGAGAGACUUGGCUGACUCCCCAAAUCCUUUCCUGGCACCCCUGCCACCCCCAGCCGGCUCUCCCCUUGGGCUCCAGUAGUGCAGUGAUGGGCAGAGGGCAGCGACCCUCUGUUACAACCCAGUGCUAUGUUCCUUGGCCACCCGGGGAGACGCCAUGGCUGGCAUCCGACAGCUGGUCACAAAAAGAUGUGAUUGUUGGGAAUGCUGGACUCUGGCUGUGGUCUGACGUUUCAAGCUGAGACC